UACAGAGGUCUCAAGCGUUUGUUCGGAUUCAUUGGGCGUAAAGGGUGUGUAGGUGGCGCCGUAAGUCGGGUGUGAAAUUUCGGAGCUUAACUCCGAAACUGCAUUCGAUACUGCGGUGCUUGAGGACUGGAGAGGAGACUGGAAUUCAUGGUGUAGCAGUGAAAUGCGUAGAGAUCAUGAGGAAGACCAGUGGCGAAAGGCGGGUCUCUGGACAGUUCCUGACACUGGAGGCACGAAGGCCCAGGGGAGCAAACGGG
rnacentral:rRNA from 1 species